GGCAGGCCAGACAGUCGCGUGGAGUGAAAUCCAUGAGGAAAGUCCGGGCUCCGCAGGGCGAGGAUGCCGGAUAACGUCCGGCGUAGGUAACUAUAGGGAAAGUGCAACAGAAACACACCGCCGAAACGGAUCAUGCCGUGGCAAGGUUGAAAUGGUGAGGUAAGAGCUCACCGGCGCUGUGGAGACACAGCGGCCGUGUAAACCCCAUCCGGAGCAAGGUCGGAGGACGAGAAGGCGGCGGCCCGUCGCCGUCCGAGAGGUGGACCGCAUGAACGCGCAGAGAUGUUGCGUCUAGAUAGAUGACUGUCUAAUACAGAACCCGGCUUACAGACCUGUCCC
rnacentral:RNase_P_RNA from 1 species